CAAGACAAGAUAGGAGCAGCUCAGGGGCAAUCCUGUGAAUGUCCUUGAACCCAAUCGAAUAUCUCCGGAUGUAAACCUUGUGGCCUCAUCCCCAAGAAGACUCGAGGCUGGAAUCACUGCCAAAGGGGCUUCAACUAAGUCCUGAGUAAAGGGAUGAGGUUCAAAUUUAGGAAGCAAUUAUGUCUAGGCAUCAGACUCUGCAGAAAAGAUAUAGCUGGAAGAUGACCUGGCGUCUGGACCAGAUGAGGAGGAAAAGGAAAGACAACAGAGAAGACGUCACUCAGCUAUUGCCUGUGUGUCUCUGUGAAGAGUCCAAAUACAGGAAGUGUGGGUGGACAAGCAGGGCUCUAUGCAUCGAGGACAAGCAGGGCCCUGUGCAUCAAGGACAAGCAGGGCUCUGUGCAUCGAGGACAAGCAAGACUCUGUAUACUGAGGACAAGCAGGGCUCUGUACACUGAGGACAAGCAGGGCUCUGUAUAUAUAUGUUAUACAAAUAAUACAUUAUACAUGUCUGUGUGUAUGAAUGUACUGUAUGUAGGCAGUGCUGGCCUUAGGUUGGAUAAUUCUCUCUGCAAUAUCUUCCAUUGAUAACCCUCUAUAAUGUACCAUAUAAUUUCCAAAUUAAACAUCAUAACAACAAUAAUAAUUUGUCCAAUAAAUAGUGGACUAAAGCUGCAUGCACAUGCCGAUCCACAGGUUUGGUCAAAAUGUUUUGGUUUGGGGGUACAAUCUCUGUUUGUACAGGCCAUCAAUAAUGGUAAUG